rnacentral:rRNA from 1 species
GGGUGAGUAACGCGUAGAUAACCUGUCUUCAUGUCUGGAAUAAUACGCCAAAGGGGUACUAAUACCGGAUAUUCUUGCUUUUCAUAAGUAUGCAAGCAAAGGUGGCCUCUGCAUAUGCUACUGCAUGAAGAGGGGUCUGCGUACCAUUAGCUAGUAGGUGGGGUAAUGGCCUACCUAGGCGACGAUGGUUAGCGGGUCUGAGAGGAUGAUCCGCCACACUGGCACUGGAACACGGGCCAGACUCCUACGGGAGGCAGCAGUGAGGAAUAUUGCGCAAUGGGGGAAACCCUGACGCAGCGACGCCGCGUGAGUGAAGGAAGGCCUUCGGGUCGUAAAGCUCUGUCAAGAGGAAAGAAGUGUACAAUGGCUAAUACCUGUUGUAUUUGACGGUACCUCUAAAGGAAGCACCGGCUAACUCCGUGCCAGCCGCAGC